rnacentral:lncRNA from 1 species
CAUAAACAUAUGUCUUGGGUAUUUCAAAACACCAUUAUUUUUUAUUUGGGAUUUCUAUAAAAAAAAUUGUAAUCUUUAGGUUACAUGGUGACUAAACCUUGUACACAGAUACAAUAAGGGGAGAAAUUUGAUUGGUUAACUUCCAAUGAUGGUUAUUUUCUUAUAUGCAAUGAAAUGUUAUGUGAAUUUUUUUCUAUAGAACUGGACAGGAUAAAACUUUACUCAUGCCAAGUAUUUCUUUAUUUGAAACAAAGAUAAAUUCUGCACAUUUUUUUGAAAAGUGCAAAUUUAAC